UGAUAAGUGUGGUGCUCUCUUUCUCGC
rnacentral:piRNA from 1 species